rnacentral:rRNA from 1 species
GAUGAACGCUAGCUACAGGCUUAACACAUGCAAGUCGAGGGGAAACGGCAUCGAAAGCUUGCUUUUGAUGGGCGUCGACCGGCGCACGGGUGAGUAACGCGUAUCCAACCUGCCCAUCACUUGGGAAUAACCUUGCGAAAGUAAGGCUAAUGCCCAAUGACAUCCCACGAAGGCAUCCGAAUGGGAUUAAAGAUUUAUCGGUGAUGGAUGGGGAUGCGUCUGAUUAGCUUGUUGGCGGGGUGACGGCCCACCAAGGCAACGAUCAGUAGGGGUUCUGAGAGGAAGGUCCCCCACAUUGGAACUGAGACACGGUCCAAACUCCUACGGGAGGCAGCAGUGAGGAAUAUUGGUCAAUGGGCGAGAGCCUGAACCAGCCAAGUAGCGUGCAGGAGGACGGCCCUAUGGGUUGUAAACUGCUUUUAUAAGGGAAUAAAGUGGGUCACGUGUGACUUUUUGCAUGUACCUUAUGAAUAAGGACCGGCUAAUUCCGUG